rnacentral:rRNA from 1 species
UACGUAGGCAGCAAGCGUUGUUCGGAGUUACUGGGCGUAAAGAGUACGUAGGCGGUUUGCUAAGUCUGGUGUGAAAUCUCCUGGCUUAACUGGGAGGGUGCGCUAGAUACUGGCAGGCUUGAGUAUGGGAGAGGAGAGUGGAAUUCCUGGUGUAGCGGUGAAAUGCGUAGAUAUCAGGAGGAACACCGGUGGCGAAGGCGGGUCUCUGGGCCGUAACUGACGCUGAGGAGCGAAAGCAUGGGUAGCGAACAGG